AGCGGGAGUAGCUCAGUUGGUAGAGCAUCAGCCUUCCAAGCUGAGGGUCGCGGGUUCGAGUCCCGUCUCCCGCUCCAA
rnacentral:tRNA from 1 species